UACGUAGGGUACGAGCGUUGUCCGGAUUUAUUGGGCGUAAAGGGCUCGUAGGCGGCGUGUCGCGUCGGGAGUGAAAGACCGGGGCUUAACCCCGGUUCUGCUUCCGGUACGGGCAUGCUGGAGUGUGGCAGGGGAGACUGGAAUUCCUGGUGUAGCGGUGGAAUGCGCAGAUAUCAGGAGGAACACCGGUGGCGAAGGCGGGUCUCUGGGCCAUUACUGACGCUGAGGAGCGAAAGCGUGGGGAGCGAACAGG
rnacentral:rRNA from 1 species